CUUUUGCGGCAUGGGAUGGGGUCGCGUCCUAUCAGCUUGUUGGUGGGGUGACGGCCUACCAAGGCGUUGACGGGUAGCCGGCCUGAGAGGGCGACCGGCCACAUUGGGACUGAGAUACGGCCCAGACUCCUACGGGAGGCAGCAGUGGGGAAUAUUGCACAAUGGGCGCAAGCCUGAUGCAGCGACGCCGCGUGAGGGAUGGAGGCCU
rnacentral:rRNA from 1 species